rnacentral:tRNA from 3 species
GGAGGAUUCGCCUAGUGGCCGAGGGCGCACGCUUGGAAAGCGUGUAAAGGGCAACCUUUCAGGGGUUCAAAUCCCCUAUCCUCCGCCA